rnacentral:misc_RNA from 1 species
UUUCCGUAGGUGAACCUGCGGAAGGAUCAUUAUCAAUACAAUAUCGGACGGCCGGGGUUGUGGGAAACACCAUGACCUAGGCCCAUCCCCUAUUGCACCCUUUGUCUUUGCGUACUGUAUGUUUCCUCGGUGGGCUCGCCCGCCGAUAGGACAUUCUAUAAACCCUUUGUAAUUGCAAUCAGCGUCAGAAAAAACUAUAAUAGUUACAACUUUCAACAACGGAUCUCUUGGUUCUGGCAUCGAUGAAGAACGCAGC